UGGGGAAUAUUGGACAAUGGGCGAAAGCCUGAUCCAGCGACGCCGCGUGGGUGAAGAAGGCCUGCGGGUUGUAAAGCCCUUUCGGUGGGGAAGAAAAGCUUCGACCUAAUACGUCGAGGUCUUGACGUAACCCACAGAAGAAGCACCGGCUAACUCUGUG
rnacentral:rRNA from 1 species